AACGAACGCUGGCGGCGCGCCUAACACAUGCAAGUCGAACGAGAAGGCGUAGCAAUACGCUUGUAGAGUGGCGAACGGGUGAGUAAUACGUGGGUGACCUACCCUCGAGUGGGGAAUAACCCGCCGAAAGGCGGGCUAAUGCCGCGUACGCUUCCGUCCUCACGGGGACGGAAGGAAAGCUGUACCCGUGGGUACGGCGCUCAAGGAUGGGCUCACGUCCUAUCAGCUUGUUGGUAGGGUAACGGCCACCAAGGCUACGACGGGUAGCUGGUCUGAGAGGACGAUCAGCCACACUGGCACUGCGACACGGGCCAGACUCCUACGGGAGGCAGCAGUGAGGAAUAUUGCGCAAUGGGCGAAAGCCUGACGCAGCGACGCCGCGUGGGGAUGAAGGUCUUCGGAUGUAAACCCCUUUCGGAGGGAGAUGAACGAGCAAUCGUUCGACGGUACCUCCAGAAGCAGCCACGGCUAACUUCGUGCCAGCAGCCGCAGUAAC
rnacentral:rRNA from 1 species